CAAUGUAAACAGAGAGAGAUUGACAUGUCAACCUUAGAAGGUCCAAGCUAAAUAGUACUAAAUCUAUUCUGGCAGAAUCAAGUCAACAGGCAAAAAUAGUACUGAUACACCUACAAAUCCUAAACCCCUAGCAGGGACGCAAAAUCUUAACUACAUGAAGGUCUAACAAUUUAAUAAAAUUAAAACCACAUUUAUAUAUGCAUGCCAAAGUAAAUUGGAAGCAAUUGUUCUUCAAUUUCAGUGGGGAUUUCUCUAAGAUUGCCAUUGGAAAGAAAAUUUAAUUUAAAAUUGAAUGAAAAUUUGGAGUUGUAAACGUGAGAAAAUAAAUAUCAUUCAACUAAAUCUUAAAUGACUAUUAUGCGUUUCUAGGCAUUUCAAAUUCAUUGGCAAUAAGCCUAAUCUGGCUUGGUCCAGUGGCUUAAGACCUAAGCU
rnacentral:misc_RNA from 1 species